UUUAAAGGAUAAAAGUAAUCCACUGGUCUUC
rnacentral:tRNA from 1 species